rnacentral:rRNA from 1 species
UACGGGGGGGGUAAGCGUUGUUCGGAAUUACUGGGCGUAAAGGGCUCGUAGGCGGCCAACUAAGUCAGGCGUGAAAUCCCUCAGCUUAACUGGGGAACUGCGUCUGAUACUGGAUGGCUUGGAUCCGGAAGAGGGAUGCGGAAUUCCAGGUGUAGCGGUGAAAUGCGUAGAUAUCUGGAGGAACACCGGUGGCGAAGGCGGCAUCCUGGGCCGGUAUUGACGCUGAGGAGCGAAAGCCAGGGGAGCAAAGCGGG